rnacentral:lncRNA from 1 species
AUGGGGGAGGUGUCACUAAUACUAUAUAAAGCAUUAUUGGGAGUCUCAUCUCAUCAUAUUUUCUCUCAUCACCUGUACAGCAGCUCUCCUUCCAGUCACCCAGCAGGUAAGAUCACCAACUUUAACUCACCAUUAGAUGGUUUAUACUGUAGACCUUUAAAUAUUACAAGUAAAAAUGUUGCAGAUUCAGUUGCAGUUUGUCCUUUUUCAUUUUGUAUUAGAACAGCGAUGGCAGCAGCAGCUUGGUCCAGGAGCAGAGGAGUGGCUGGUGUCAGAGCCACCACAGGCCUGUUCUCCAUCUUCACUCUGCUGUGUCUGGUUUGCCUCUCAAGUUCACUGAUUCACAAAGACCAGCUGAAAGAGUUCAAGGGAAAACUUCAGAAAGCACAAAUGAAACUGGAAAAGAUGAAGGUGAGUCAGUCACACAGUUCAUUUUGUUCACAUAAAUUACUUCAGAGUAAGUUUGGAGUGUUGGAAUACUGUGUGACUUUAUGUAUGGCAGUGCAUAUAUGGUAUAUGUUUAAUUUCCAUUAGGCAGUCAACGUGCAUGAAAUGAGCAUCGUUAAAGUUCAGGUGGGGCUAACUCUGAGGCUUAUGGAGUCCCUGGAAACAUUCGUGAAGAAACAUGAAGAAGAAUUUCCUGAUGACUCUCUGCAUCUGCAUGGAUUUGUGCAGGGCGUCAAGGACUUUUUACAGACAGCCAAGUAUAAAGUAGAUACGAAGGAUGAGGAGAUGAGAGCACAAAUAGAGAACGAUGAACAGGAAUUGGAAACACUUAGGAAAUCAAUCACAUUCUAUGAGGAGCAACAAGCUGAACUGUAAAUCCCAUGUCAGUCAGUGCUUCCACCUCUGAUACUGCAGCUUUAUUAUCUGUGAAGUUUCUCUUUUUUAUCCUUCAGCUUCAUUUGAGUGUUUUUUCUAUGAACUGGCUUUGAAAUCAUGUUUGACAUAAAGUAGGAGGUUAGAGAGAGACGCAGUAUUGACAGGGAAGUGAGAGGUGUUGUACUACCUUUAUUGAACACAUUUCAAAUAAAAUAAACAUAUUUUACUGCUUUAUUUCUAGUUCAAUUUAUUAACUUGGAUUACUAAAGAGAAUCAUGUUUGUUUUCUUCUCCUGUUUUUUUAUGGUUUUCUUGGAAUAACAGUUUCUACAAAUAAUACUACUACUGUUACUGAUAAACACACAAAUAUUUACAGUCUGAACUCUCUGUGUCAUGAUGGACUGAGUUUAUCUAUAUUGAACUAACUUUCUAACAGAAGUAAAGGUCUUUUUGAGGGUCUGACCCUCCCUGACCCUCUGACAAUGUCCCAUCAAAAUAUAAGUUUCCUGUUCUUCACAUGACAAUAUUAUGACUGAUCAUUAAGAUGCUUUAUUCAUAAUCAUUUCUUCUUCUAAAACUGUGAGGUCCUGACCUCCAGUGGCUGAAGUCAGUGUUACAUGCUCUGAAACAGCUUCUAUUACAUGUUUAACUCACUCUGUUGAUAUAUGAACUCUAAAAGGAACAUGAGAAAAUGAAUUCACAAUACAAACUAUAAUCAUCUACAUUUCCUAUAUUACUUUAUUGAAAUCAGGGCUAUUGAAAACAUAUGCUGCAAAACUAUGCUGCAUGAAAUUCAGCAUGUGUGGAAAACCCAAAUAAAUGUCCUACAUGGGAACUGUUGCUGUCUGUCGUUUCUUUCUUUGUUAUUGUGAAACACAAAGU